rnacentral:rRNA from 1 species
AGAGUUUGAUCCUGGCUCAGAUUGAACGCUGGCGGCAUGCCUUACACAUGCAAGUCGAACGGCAGCGCGGGGCAACCUGGCGGCGAGUGGCGAACGGGUGAGUAAUAUAUCGGAACGUACCCUGGAGUGGGGGAUAACGUAGCGAAAGUUACGCUAAUACCGCAUACGAUCUAAGGAUGAAAGUGGGGGAUCGCAAGACCUCAUGCUCCUGGAGCGGCCGAUAUCUGAUUAGCUAGUUGGUGGGGUAAAGGCCUACCAAGGCAUCGAUCAGUAGCUGGUCUGAGAGGACGACCAGCCACACUGGAACUGAGACACGGUCCAGACUCCUACGGGAGGCAGCAGUGGGGAAUUUUGGACAAUGGGCGAAAGCCUGAUCCAGCAAUGCCGCGUGAGUGAAGAAGGCCUUCGGGUUGUAAAGCUCUUUUGUCAGGGAAGAAACGGUGAGGGCUAAUAUCCCUUGCUAAUGACGGUACCUGAAGAAUAAGCACCGGCUAACUACGUGCCAGCAGCCGCGGUAAUACGUAGGGUGCAAGCGUUAAUCGGAAUUACUGGGCGUAAAGCGUGCGCAGGCGGUUUUGUAAGUCUGUCGUGAAAUCCCCGGGCUCAACCUGGGAAUUGCGAUGGAGACUGCAAGGCUAGAAUCUGGCAGAGGGGGGUAGGAUUCCACGUGUAGCAGUGAAAUGCGUAGAGAUGUGGAGGAACACCGAUGGCGAAGGCAGCCCCCUGGGUCAAGAUUGACGCUCAUGCACGAAAGCGUGGGGAGCAAACAGGAUUAGAUACCCUGGUAGUCCACGCCCUAAACGAUGUCUACUAGUUGUCGGGUUUUAAUUAACUUGGUAACGCAGCUAACGCGUGAAGUAGACCGCCUGGGGAGUACGGUCGCAAGAUUAAAACUCAAAGGAAUUGACGG